rnacentral:rRNA from 1 species
UACAGAGGUCCCGAGCGUUGCUCGGAAUCACUGGGCUUAAAGGGCGCGUAGGCGGGUGGUCAAGUCAGGGGUGAAAUCUUUCCGCUCAACGGGAAAACAGCUUUUGAUACUGGCCAUCUUGAGGGGGGUAGGGGCAUGUGGAACUUCCGGUGGAGCGGUGAAAUGCGUAGAUAUCGGAAGGAACGCCGGUGGCGAAAGCGACGUGCUGGACCAUUUCUGACGCUGAGGCGCGAAAGCCAGGGGAGCAAACGGG